GACGAACGCUGGCGGCGUGCUUAACACAUGCAAGUCGAACGGAAAGGCCCUGCUUUUGUGGGGUGCUCGAGUGGCGAACGGGUGAGUAACACGUGAGUAACCUGCCCUUGACUUUGGGAUAACUUCAGGAAACUGGGGCUAAUACCGGAUAGGAGCUCCUGCUGCAUGGUGGGGGUUGGAAAGUUUCGGCGGUUGGGGAUGGACUCGCGGCUUAUCAGCUUGUUGGUGGGGUAGUGGCUGACCAAGGCUUCGACGGGUAGCCGGCCUGAGAGGGUGACCGGCGACAUUGGGACUGAGAUACGGCCCAGACUCCUACGGGAGGCAGCAGUGGGGAAUAUUGCACAAUGGGCGGGAGCCUGAUGCAGCAACGCCGCGUGCGGGAUGACGGCCUUCGGGUUGUAAACCGCUUUCGCCUGUGACGAAGCGUGAGUGACGGUAAUGGGUAAAGAAGCACCGGCUAACUACGUG
rnacentral:rRNA from 1 species